rnacentral:rRNA from 1 species
UACGGGGGGGGCAAGCGUUGUUCGGAAUUACUGGGCGUAAAGCGCGCGUAGGCGGCAAGGUAUGUCGUGCGUGAAAUCUCCCGGCUUAACUGGGAGGGGCCGUGCGAAACUGCCUGGCUUGAGGUCGGAAGGGGAAAGUGGAAUUCCGGGUGUAGUGGUGGAAUACGUAGAUAUCCGGAGGAACACCGGUGGCGAAGGCGGCUUACCUGGACCGACACUGACGCUGAGGCGCGAAAGCUAGGGGAGCAAACGGG